UACGGGGGGAGCAAGCGUUGUUCGGAUUUACUGGGCGUAAAGGGCGCGUAGGCGGCCACCGCAAGUCGACUGUGAAAUCUCCGGGCUUAACCCGGAAAGGUCAGCCGAUACUGCGGGGCUAGAGUGCAGAAGGGGCAACUGGAAUUCUCGGUGUAGCGGUGAAAUGCGUAGAUAUCGAGAGGAAUACCAACGGCGAAGGCAGGUCACUGGGCAGUUACUGACACUGAGGCACGAAGGCCAGGGGAGCAAACGGG
rnacentral:rRNA from 1 species